rnacentral:misc_RNA from 1 species
AAGUUAUAGUCCCCCGGCCCUCUGGGCUGGGGUCUUCUAUACCACCCUUUGUUUAUUACACCUUUGUUGCUUUGGCAGGCCUGCCCUCUGGCAGACGCGAGCCGGCCGGAGGACCUAAACUCUGUUUGUAUAUGAAGUCUGAGUACUAUAUAAUAGUUA